UACGUAGGGGCUGAGCGUUGUUCCGGAUUCAUUGGGCGUAAAGCGCGUGUGAGGCGGCCAGGUAGGUCGAUGUGAAAACUGGAGGCUCAACCCUCCAGCUGUCAUUGGAAACCAUCUGGCUAGAGUCCGGAAGAGGAGAGGUGGAAUUCCUGGUGUAGCGGUGAAAUGCGCAGAUAUCAGGAAGAACACCGAUGGCGAAGGCAGACGUCUCUGGGACGGUACUGACGCUGAGACGCGAAAGCGUGGGGAGCGAACAGG
rnacentral:rRNA from 1 species